AGGGCACUACCAGGAGUGGAUCCUGCGGCUCAAUUUGACUCAACACGGGAAAGCUCACCUGGUCCGGACACUGGAAGGAUUGACAGAUUAAGAGCUCUUUCUUGAUUCAGUGGGUGGUGGUGCAUGGCCGUUCUUAGUUGGUGGAGCGAUUUGUCUGGUUAAUUCCGAUAACGAACGAGACUCUAGCCUACUAAAUAGGUGUUCCGAUCCCAUCAGUCGGACGCUCUUCUUAGAGGGACAAGCGGCGUUUAGCCGCACGAGACAGAGCAAUAACAGGUCUGUGAUGCCCUUAGAUGUCCGGGGCCGCACGCGCGCUACACUGAAGGAACCAGCGUGUGUCCCUGUCCGGCAGGACUGGGUAAUCCGUUGAACCUCCUUCGUGAUAGGGAUAGGGGCUUGUAAUAGUUCCCCUUGAAAGAGGAAUUCCCAGUAAGCAUGAAUCAUCAGUAACGUUAUUACGUAAACUGGGAUUUGUACACACCGGCCAGUACCUAAUAUUAGAUUGGAUAAAUUAUGGAA
rnacentral:rRNA from 1 species